rnacentral:lncRNA from 10 species
AUAGUUUCAGGUUUUGUGUUUGAAUCUUUGGUUCAUUUUUACUUGAUUUUAUAUAUGUUGUAAGGUAACAUUUUUGCAUGUAGAUAUUCAGAUUCAUAGCACCAUUUGUUUAAAGCAUGCUUUUCUUCUUUACCCUGUUUUUCUGUCUUGGUUCAUGAAACAGGAACUUCUUUAAAUUCUUUUAAACUCUCACCCUCUCGGGCAGUAAUUGAGGAAAGGACUUCCACCUUUCUCUUUGCCUAUUCCUAGCUUCAUUCCAUUGUAGGAGAGACUUUUUGGAUUACUGUUUAUGUUUCACAUCCCUUGCUUCACUCCUCGGCCAUGUGAUAGCCUCAUAUCAGAAACCAGCUUGAACAAACUAAGCCAAGACUCUCUGCUCAUUUGCUGACUUUAAUGAAAGGACACCCAAGUGGCAAGAACUGAAGGAGGCUUGUAGGAAUUGGGGAUGGCCUCCAGCCAGCAACCUGCAAGAUCAUGAGGCUGUCAGUCCUACAACUAUAAGGAAGUAAAUCCUGCUGACAACCUGAAAGAGCUUAUAGCAUGGGAGGAGUUGAUGUGGAUCAUUGGAAAAUACAGCCUGCCACAAAUGGACAUAAACGAAAGUCUCCUCAUCGAUAGUUAAGAAAGCCAUGUUGGUUCACCACAUGUAUCGCAUCCUGAUAAUGUGAAGUGAAAAAGUAGAGCCUGGAAGCCUUUGUAAGAUGACUGUGCCAGAGGAGGAAGAUAAAUAUCUCGAUGCUAUGGAGGCCUGUCAGCUCUUUGAAGUAUCUGGGCAAUAUCAAGAUUUCUACUUCAGAUGAAAAAACAAAUAGUUAUUCAUUGACCCUGUUGCCGCCAAGAAAGAGGUGAAAGGUGAACCCCCAACCCACGGAAAGAUCCAGCCAAGUAAGGAACUGCAAAAUAUUGAAUGACUAAUUCUCCAAACAAGG